UUUAUCUGAUGAUAUGCAGUGGCAAUACCUUGGAAGCCUCCGGCGGCUUCAAUUUGCAUAUUUGUUCAAAUUGGCGUCGCUCCCAAAGGGACUUCAACGUGUUCCCACUCUGCGCAAUCUCCUAAUCAUGAGUUGUCCUAAUUUUAUAUCUUUACCGGAGUGGAUAGCAAGCCUUACCGUGCAAUCUUUCAUGAUUAAAGAAUGUCCUCAACUAUC
rnacentral:misc_RNA from 1 species